rnacentral:rRNA from 1 species
AUACGGAGGGUGCAAGCGUUGUUCGGAAUUACUGGGCGUAAAGCGCAUGUAGGUGGUGUGGCAAGUUAGAGGUGAAAGGCCUGGGCUCAACCUGGGAACUGCCUUUAAUACUGUCACGCUAGAGUUCGGGAGAGGGUAGCGGAAUUCCAAGUGUAGAGGUGAAAUUCGUAGAUAUUUGGAAGAACACCGGUGGCGAAGGCGGCUACCUGGACCGACACUGACACUGAGAUGCGAAAGCGUGGGGAGCGAACAGGAGUAGAAACCCCAGUAGUCC